rnacentral:rRNA from 1 species
GAUGAACGCUGGCGGCGUGCCUAAUACAUGCAAGUCGAGCGAACAGACGAGGAGCUUGCUCCUCUGACGUUAGCGGCGGACGGGUGAGUAACACGUGGAUAACCUACCUAUAAGACUGGGAUAACUUCGGGAAACCGGAGCUAAUACCGGAUAAUAUAUUGAACCGCAUGGUUCAAUAGCGAAAGACGGUUUUGCUGUCACUUAUAGAUGGAUCCGCGCCGCAUUAGCUAGUUGGUAAGGUAGCGGCUUACCAAGGCGACGAUGCGUAGCCGACCUGAGAGGGGGAUCGGCCACCUGGGAGCUGAGACACGGUCCAGACUCCGACGGGAGGCAGCAGUAGGGAAUCUUCCGCAAUGGGCGAAAGCCUGACGGAGCAACGCCGCGUGAGUGAUGAAGGUCUUCGGAUCGUAAAACGCUGUUAUUAGGGAAGAACAAAUGUGUAAGUAACGAUGCACGUCUUGACGGUACCUAAGCAGAAAGCCACGGCUAACUACGU